GGCCCGAGUUGUAAUUUGCAAAGGAUGUUUCUGGGGCGUUGCCUUCCGAGUUCCCUGGAACGGGACGCCAUAGAGGGUGACAGCCCCGUAUGGUUGGAUACCAAGCCUGUGUGAAACUCCUUCGACGAGUCGAGUAGUUUGAGAAUGCUGCUCUAAAUGGGAGGUAAAUCUCUUCUAAAGCUAAAUACCGGCCAGAGACCGAUAGCGCACAAGUAGAGUGAUCAAAAGAUGAAAAGCCCCUUGAAGGGGGGGUUAAAUAGUACGUGAAUUUGUUGAAAGGGAAGCUUUUAUGACCAGACUUGUGCCGGGCGUUUCAUCCGGUGUUCUCGGCGGUGCACUCCGCCUGGCUCAGGCCAGCAUCGGUUUCCGUGGGGAGAUAAGAGCGGUGGGAACGUGUCUCUUCACGGGGAGUGUUAUACCCCGCCGUACGAUACCCUCGUGGGGACCGAGGUUCGCGCAUCUGCAAGGAUGCUGAUAUAAUGCUCAUCAGCGACCCGUCUUGAAACACGGACCAAGGAGUCGUCCAUUAGAGCGAGCGUUUGGGUGUCAAACCCGCACGCGUAAUGAAAGUGAAAUUAGGUGAGAGCUUCGGCGUAUCAUCGACCGAUCCUGAUGUUCUCGGAUGGAUUUGAGUAAGAGUUUUAACGGACGGACCCGAAAGACAGUGAACUAUGCUUGUAUAGGGUGAACCCAGAGGAAACUCUGGUGGAGGCUCGCAGCUGUUCUGACGUGCA
rnacentral:rRNA from 1 species